UCUCCCCUUUAUUUGGAAAGGGGGAAAACAGUGGAAGGAAUGAAGUGCAGGGCUGGAGUCGAGUCAGAUGAGUUCAAGUGGUGGCUCUCUGUGUAUCUUAGAAGAUAACCCUGAGAGAAACGAGCAGCUCCUCUUUCCUGUGCCGUGUCUGCCUCCCCUUUUCAAAAGCCCCACCAGCACUUAUUCAAAAGUACUGCAGACUUUGAUGUCUGGAGAUGAAAAGCAGUUUUGAGUUUUUGCAGAAUGGGAAGGAGCAGCCCUGGCUCCCGAUGCCAGCCUGCCCCGCUCGGCUCUCCCAGAUGAAGAUGUUUAUUCCAGCUCGUCGGGAAGAUUCUCUUGGCGUUGCCUCCAAAGCCAUUAUGCAGGUGAUUAACCCAUUUAUUUUCAGCUGCGUGCCUUGUCAAACGCGGCAGAACAAACGCCAGGGGAUGAAAGCAGAGUUCCCAUUUCGGGGCCGGCCCUUUCUCUCCCCUUUGGGGGAAUUUUGCUGCAAUUGCAGCGAGGAAUUUGCCACAUCUGCUGCAGCUCCUGCAGGCUCCGAGCGCUGCCUGAGCCCGGCUCCGAUGGAAAUGGGGAUUCGGCUGGAUAUUGCAUUUCCUCGGACUUCAAAAUGCAAAUUGCAGCCGGCUUGGACAGAGCCAGCCUUGGAUGUGGGAGCUGCGAUUCCAAAGUUAUUCCAUCAAAUGGGAGUCAGGGAUCCGCAGCUCAGUUUCUGUUCCAGCCGCUGGUUGUGGCGCUAAGGGAGGCAAUAAUCUGUUUAUUCUCCUGUCAUUGUGUUAAUCAGCUUUUAAUUUAAGGCUGUGUCAGGAGUGGUUGGAGAUCUCUGUUGCUGUGAAUACCCGAGCACAGAGAGAUGUGCACGCACUCUGAAAAUGUGCCUGGGAUCAGAUCUCAGGGGCUCCUCUGCUGCUGCCUGAUGGAGAUAUAAUUGGGAGAAUAUAAAGAGAGAUUGUUUGGAGGUAACCAAAGAAACCCUGGCACUAGCCGUGUUUUAAAUCAUCAGCUACCUUGAACACGGGUAAUAAAACACAGUGUAACACAUAUUUUCA
rnacentral:lncRNA from 1 species